rnacentral:rRNA from 1 species
GACGAACGCUGGCGGCGUGCUUAACACAUGCAAGUCGAACGGAAAGGCCCUGCUGUUGUGGGGUGCUCGAGCGGCGAACGGGUGAGUAACACGUGAGUAACCUGCCCCUUACUGGGGGAUAACUACAGGUAACUGGGGUUAAUAACGCAUAGGAGCGCCUGCUGCAUGGAGGGGGGGGGAAUGUUUCGGCGGUCGGGGAUGGACUCGCGGCUUGUCAGCUUGUUGGGGGGGUAGUGGCUCACAAAGACGUUGACGGGCAGCCGGCCUGAGAGGGUGACCGGCGACAUGGGGCCUGCGGUACGGACCAGACUGGUACGGGAGGCAGUGGUGGGGAGUAUUGUGCAGUGGGGGGAAGCCUGUGGCAGCGGCGCUGGGGGCGGGAAGACGGCCUGCGGGGUGUAAAGGGCGUUAGCCUGUGACGAUGCGUGAGUGACGGUAAUGGGUAAAGAAGCACCGGCUAACUACGUG